rnacentral:rRNA from 1 species
UGGGGAAUAUUGCACAAUGGGCGCAAGCCUGAUGCAGCCAUGCCGCGUGUAUGAAGAAGGCCUUCGGGUUGUAAAGUACUUUCAGCGGGGAGGAAGGUGUUGUGGUUAAUAACCACAGCAAUUGACGUUACCCGCAGAAGAAGCACCGGCUAACUCCGUGCCAGCAGCCGCGGUAAUACGGCGGGUGCAAGCGUUAAUCGGAAUUACUGGGCGUAAAGCGCACGCAGGCGGUCUGUCAAGUCGGAUGUGAAAUCCCCGGGCUCAACCUGGGAACUGCAUCCGAAACUGGCAGGCUUGAGUCUUGUAGAGGGGGGUAGAAUUCCAGGUGUAGCGGUGAAAUGCGUAGAGAUCUGGAGGAAUACCGGUGGCGAAGGCGGCCCCCUGGACAAAGACUGACGCUCAGGUGCGAAAGCGUGGGGAGCAAACA